rnacentral:lncRNA from 1 species
GUUCCGAUAACAAAAUAUUAAAAUUAGCUUAACAAAAAUUUCGAAACCUUCAUUCAGGUUACAUCUUUUUUCUCAUUAAACCUCUUUACGACACAGAAAUUGAGCAUGGUUAUAUAAAUUAGCAUUAAGAUAAUUUUAAGAUCGCUCCCCCCCUCUUUUUUUACGCAGAUAAUGUACCCUUAUGAUAGGUAGUCUAAUUCUUACUAUGUUUUUCUUCUACGGUUAUUUUAUUUAUCAAUUAACUAUUCCUUUAAAUUUCUUUUCAGGUUUAUAAAAGAUGAAUUUUCGAUGCAUAUUCGUUCUUUUGCUCCUAAUUUCAGCAAGCCAUCAUGUUGAAUCACAGAAUUUUGCACCGUUUUUAGGAGGACUAUUUUUAGGUGGUUUGUUCAACCGAUUUCAGUCAUUUCCGCCACCACCAAUAUACUCACCACCUUUCUACUACCCACAGUUUCAACCUGGAUUUGGUCGAUUUGGAUAAAUAAAUAAAUUUAGACUGUAUAUCGGUGCUGUAAGUAUCAGUCAUUAUUUACUUUUGCCAUUUUUUUCUCAGUGAUAUAUGUCUUUCGUAUAAUUUAGAAAUGUCCCAACGAUUUGCAUCUAAUUUUCUUAAAAUGAUGCUGAACAAGACCCAGAAUUUAGGAUUAUAUAUCUCAUGCAAAUGAAGAAGAUCCUUACAAUAUAUGUGCCGUAGACCCGACAUGUAUGGCAGAUAGAAAAUAAAUCAUUUUUUGUAAAGUUUACAUAGUUUCUCUCUCAGUUCGUACUGGUGUACCAAAACACCAAAAGAAACGAUUGCAUGAGGGAUUUUUAUUGUUUUAUAAUUACAUUUUUCUUUGUAUUAAAAAAAUCAUGUAUAGACAAUCGGUUGUUGAAUUUAUGGAAUAUGGGAGAACUCACUCCAUCAAUCUAUACCUCUUUGGUCGGUUUGUUGUCUCUUGUGCACAUUCCCCAUUUCCAUUUUCAACUUAACUGUUCAUUAUAAAUAAAGAAAAAAAUGUAGUGGUUGAAAUAAAAUCCUGCUUUCUUUCGUAUAAAGAAACAAAAGUGUGCCAUAUUAGCGAUAUCUAGUAUUGUUUAGCAUACAAAAGAUAGUAACAUAUAUAUUAACAUCUGCUUCU